CAGUCGCCACGGUAAUACGAAGGGGGCUAGCGUUGUUCGGAAUUACUGGGCGUAAGGGGCGCGUAGGCGGCCAUUCAAGUUAGAUGUGAAAGCCCUGGGCUCAACCUAGGAAUUGCAUUUGAUACUGUUUGGCUUGAGUUCGGGAGAGGUGAGUGGAAUUCCCAGUGUAGAGGUGAAAUUCGUAGAUAUUGGGAAGAACACCAGUGGCGAAGGCGGCUCACUGGACCGACACUGACGCUGAGGCGCGAAAGCGUGGGGAGCAAACAGGAUUAGAUACCCGCGUAGUCCCUGUCUCUUAUAC
rnacentral:rRNA from 1 species